CUUAAGAGCAGCCGAAGGCCUCUCAAUACACUUUGAAAUUGCUUCCUUCUCAUUAUGCUUCAGCAGUGGGGGGGAAAAAAGUAUAUGUCCUGGAUUGUGCUGUUCCUCUCUCCUAUGUAAAUAUUCUCUGCUGUGCUACGCAAAAUGGCUGCUAAAUGUGCCUUCCACAUCAGAGAGUGAAGCAUGAAAGUACAAUGGGCGUUCGUAUCAAAAGGAUAUAAAGUCUCUGAGAGGAAGGAUGGAAACUGAAAUUGGACUGCAACAGCAUUUUUGACGGGGAGUGGAUCCCACUGCCUGAGGCCACCUUCGAGGAAAUGAAGCACUGUUUUGCAAAGCAAGAUGCAGUCUGUGCAGAAGCUUACUGUGUGUUUCACAGGACUGUAAAUUCCCAUAACCUUGACUGAACUGUUUGAGAUUUUCUUGGUGUUGGUUUUCUAAAGCUUUGACUCUUAGGAUCAUGUGUUAGGUCUGUGUGGUUUUGCUUGAGAGUAACUUUUAUAUUCCUCGUGGCUAUACAACAAAGCUUUACAAGUGAUUUGAAUAAAAUCUAUUUGUCAAAAGCAAAAUGGGAAAUAGAAAAUAACAUCUAUUUGUUAUUCAGAAUGAUUCAGUGGGAGAUGACAUGUGAAUGUUCUUUCCUUUAAAUUCUCAAGAUUAGAAAAAAUGUUCUUGAACGUCCUUCUGUCUUAUUCCACUGCAAAGAAUCCUGGUAGUGUGCAUUCUACCCCUUUUCCUGUAGUUGUUGCUGAUUUCUUGUCUUUUGUGCUGGGAAAAGAUUGUGAAAGCUUUGUGUCUUAGCAAGAUAUAAAGGAUAAGUACUCUGAAGGUUUUUGUUAUUUUCUGUUUCCAAAUUUCUCCCAAAGGAUUCUUUCAUUUUUAUUGUUUUUAUUUUUAUUUCUUUCUUUGUGGAAACAGUUUCCAUCAUUGCCAUAAAGUGCCAUGAUAUUUAUAUUCAGUGCCAUGGUAUUUAUAUUCAUGUUCUAUGGAAUAUUAAUACCAUCGAAUUAAAAUACCUAGUUCUACUGUGUUGGCUUGAUUCUUUGCUUACUGAAAAUUUACAAAGGCUUGCUAUUUGACUUUUAUGUUCUUCUCUUUCCUGAAACCUUGAUAGAUUCUGCUCUCAAAUUUCACAUCAUAGUAACAGUAUUCUGGGUUAUUAAGGAGAUGUCCUAGUGUUAUCAGUGCCACUAGUGUUCUGUUUCUUUGGAUGCUUUCAUUUCUACCUACCUUUUCCCUUGGCUUUUCUUUCUAGUAAAGUCAGUUCUUGAAAAGAAAUGAAUUUGUUAAGGUGUAAGUAAGGAGAUGGAAAGUCUUUCAGAUGACCAGACUUGGUAGAUUCUCUAUAAACAAGGUACAGCAGGUUAAGAAAUGUCACUUUAUAUUCUGUAUGAGAGGCACUGUGUGCACUUUUCUAAUACUGUGAUUCCCAGUUCUGGACUGCUGUCCUGAAUUCCCAAUACAUUAGGACUGCUGUCACACAUUAUUGUAAGUGGUAGGCAGAACACUUGCAGAAGAAUGUACAUCCUAUUCCUAUUCGAAUCUGCUCUUGAAAGACAAUGAAAAAGAAAUGUACAUGCUGUUUUCUUGCUCAUCUGCAUGUACAGAAGAUCUGAUUUUUCAGAGGCCACGAGAUAUGCAUAUGAAGAUGAAAGCUGGCCUUGUGGACAUGUAUUUGUCUUAAUGUUUUUUUCUAUUGUGAGAUGUGAAACAGAUCUGUAGGAUGAGCAUGUGUAACUGAAACUGAAUGAAAGGCAAAAGCUAAUGUCCCGAGUUCUGAAAUUAUUGCUGAGAAAAUAAAAGGGUGAACAGUCUAUGAGGCAA